rnacentral:rRNA from 1 species
ACGGGUGAGUAACACGUGAGUAACCUGCCCUUGACUCUGGGAUAAGCCUGGGAAACUGGGUCUAAUACCGGAUAUGACCAUUCCACGCAUGUGGUGGUGGUGGAAAGCUUUUGUGGUUUUGGAUGGACUCGCGGCCUAUCAGCUUGUUGGUGGGGUAAUGGCCUACCAAGGCGACGACGGGUAGCCGGCCUGAGAGGGUGACCGGCCACACUGGGACUGAGACACGGCCCAGACUCCUACGGGAGGCAGCAGUGGGGAAUAUUGCACAAUGGGCGCAAGCCUGAUGCAGCGACGCCGCGUGAGGGAUGACGGCCUUCGGGUUGUAAACCUCUUUCAGUAGGGAAGAAGCGAAAGUGACGGUACCUGCAGAAGAAGCGCCGGCUAACUACGUGCCAGCAGCCGCGGUAAUACGUAGGGCGCAAGCGUUAUCCGGAAUUAUUGGGCGUAAAGAGCUCGUAGGCGGUUUGUCGCGUCUGCUGUGAAAGACCGGGGCUCAACUCCGGUUCUGCAGUGGGUACGGGCAGACUAGAGUGCAGUAGGGGAGACUGGAAUUCCUGGUGUAGCGGUGAAAUGCGCAGA